GGGGCUAUAGGCUAAUCUGGGAAACCAUUUCCCUUGCACGGAAAAAUUACGGGUUCAAAUCCCGUUAGCUCCA
rnacentral:tRNA from 1 species